rnacentral:rRNA from 1 species
GGGGGGGGGGGGGGGGGGGGGGGGGGGGGGGGGGGGGGGGGGGGGGGCGGUGCGGGGGGGGGGUGCGCGGGUGGCGGGGGGGUGGGGGGCGCGGGGGGAGCGGGCCCUUGACGUUGGGGUGACUGCGGGCAGCUGGGGCGCAGACCGGAUAGGAGCUCCUGCUGCAUGGUGGGGGUUGGCACGUUUCGGCGGUUGGGGAGGGACUCGCGGCUUAUCAGCUUGUUGGCGGGGUAGUGGCUUACCACGGCUUUGCCGGGUAGCCGGCCUGAGAGGGUGACCGGGCACAUUGGGACUGAGAUACGGCACAGACUCCUACGGGAGGCAGCAGUGGGGAAUAUUGGACAAUGGGCGGAAGCCUGAUGCAGCAACGCCGCGUGCGGGAUGACGGCCUUCGGGUUGUAAACCGCUUUCGCCUGUGACGAAGCGUGAGUGACGGUAAUGGGUAAAGAAGCACCGGCUAACUACGUG